rnacentral:rRNA from 1 species
UGCAAGUCGAACGGUAACAUUUCUAGCUUGCUAGAAGAUGACGAGUGGCGGACGGGUGAGUAAUGCUUGGGAACUUGCCUUUGCGAGGGGGAUAACAGUUGGAAACGACUGCUAAUACCGCAUAAUGUCUUCGGACCAAACGGGGCUUCGGCUCCGGCGCAAAGAGAGGCCCAAGUGAGAUUAGCUAGUUGGUAAGGUAACGGCUUACCAAGGCGACGAUCUCUAGCUGUUCUGAGAGGAAGAUCAGCCACACUGGGACUGAGACACGGCCCAGACUCCUACGGGAGGCAGCAGUGGGGAAUAUUGCACAAUGGGGGAAACCCUGAUGCAGCCAUGCCGCGUGUGUGAAGAAGGCCUUCGGGUUGUAAAGCACUUUCAGUUGUGAGGAAAAGUUAGUAGUUAAUACCUACUAGCCGUGACGUUAACAACAGAAGAAGCACCGGCUAACUCCGUGCCAGCAGCCGCGGUAAUACGGAGGGUGCGAGCGUUAAUCGGAAUUACUGGGCGUAAAGCGCACGCAGGCGGUUUGUUAAGCUAGAUGUGAAAGCCCCGGGCUCAACCUGGGAUGGUCAUUUAGAACUGGCAGACUAGAGUCUUGGAGAGGGGAGUGGAAUUCCAGGUGUAGCGGUGAAAUGCGUAGAUAUCUGGAGGAACAUCAGUGGCGAAGGCGACUCCCUGGCCAAAGACUGACGCUCAUGUGCGAAAGUGUGGGUAGCGAACAGGAUUAGAUACCCUGGUAGUCCACACCGUAAACGCUGUCUACUAGCUGUGUGUGUCUUUAAGACGUGCGUAGCGAAGCUAACGCGCUAAGUAGACCGCCUGGGGAGUACGGCGCAAGGUAAACUCAAAUGAAUUGACGGGGCUCGCACAGCGUGAGCAUGUGAUUAUUCGAUGCACGCGAGAUC